rnacentral:tRNA from 1 species
GCCGGAGUGGUGAAACUGGCAGACACGCAUGGCUUAGAACCAUGUGCCUUAAUGGCUUGGAGGUUCGAGUCCUCUCUCCGGCA